rnacentral:rRNA from 1 species
AUGGCAGAAUGCUUCAAUAAGGUGCUCAAGGGUGUACGUGCAUUACCCGUGACGGCAAUAGUUCAAUACACAUUUGACAAGUUGAAUGAAUACUUUUUAAAGCACUCAAUGGAGACUGAUAAGCAGAUUGCUGGUGAGAACAAGGAUAAGCACAAGUACAAUUUCCCACCAAAGGUUGAAGAAUGGUUGGAAUUUCAAUCACGAAAGGCAGACUCCGAAGAAGCUGUACUAUAUGACGACAACGAGUGGAAGUAUGAGGUUAAAGAGCCCGGAGGAACCACAAACGAUGGCCGCCAACACGGAGGUCGGGCUUUCAAGGUCUCCCUAACACGGUGUGAUUGCAGCUGCAUGAGGCCGUCUUUGCUUCAUCUCCCAUGCUCGCACUUGUUAAAUGCAUCCCGGGUUAGGAAUGUGGACGUCAAUCACCCUACCGUGAGGGAGUCCGAGUUCUCAAUCAUGACGGUAAAGAAUACAUGGACUCCACGGUUCCAGCCAUACUUGGACCAAUCACAAUGGCCGGAGUAUCAUGGAGUUCAACUAUGGCCGGACCCG